AGUGAACGCUGGCGGCGUGCCUAAUACAUGCAAGUCGAACGGAGAUUAAGUAGCUUGCUAUUUACUCUUAGUGGCGCACGGGUGAGUAAUAUAUAGCUAACUUGCCCAUUACUAAGGGACAACAGUUGGAAACGACUGCUAAUACCUUAUACUCCGUAUCUAUAUAAGUAGAUACGGGAAAGUUUUUCGGUAAUGGAUAGGGCUAUAUCGUAUCAGCUAGUUGGUAAGGUAAUGGCUUACCAAGGCUAUGACGCGUAACUGGUCUGAGAGGAUGAUCAGUCACACUGGAACUGAGACACGGUCCAGACUCCUACGGGAGGCAGCAGUAGGGAAUAUUGCUCAAUGGGGGAAACCCUGAAGCAGCAACGCCGCGUGGAGGAUGACACUUUUCGGGGCGUAAACUCCUUUUCUUGGGAAAGAAUUAUGACGGUACCCAAGGAAUAAGCACCGGCUAACUCCGUG
rnacentral:rRNA from 1 species